CUCAGCUUAGCUCAUCUGGUAGAGCGUUGGUUUGUAACACCGAAGGUACACGGUUCGAUCCCGUGAGCUGAGA
rnacentral:tRNA from 1 species